GUCGUCUUAUUCUCCUAACCCAGUCCCCCUAGCCACCGCCAUUUAUGUCUCUCUUCGCACGAAAACCCACCACCGCCACACCUACUCCUUGCGCCAUAGCCACUACCACUCCACCGCCGCACCUACUCCUCGCGCUACUGCCACCGCCACUCCACCGCUACACCACUUGUAGGCCAUUAGACGAUUGAACCAAGGAUUGUUUAUCGACAUGGACAAAUUUAUCUUGAGGUGUGUUAAGGCAACAAGCAUGUUGAGUGAAAAGAAACAAAGUCAUCCACCGAAAUGGACUCCAUGUUCGGUAAGUAAUUCAUACACUUCGCAAAACUACAUAUAUCUUAUUGUUUUUUAUUAAAAAAUGUUCUUAAUUGUAUUGUAAUUCAAAUGUAGUGUGCCUAACAAAGAGGAACUACUGAAUGCGGA